rnacentral:rRNA from 1 species
AGAUUGAACGCUGGCGGCAUGCCUUACACAUGCAAGUCGAACGGCAGCACGGGGGUAACCCUGGUGGCGAGUGGCGGAACGGGUGAGUAAUACAUCGGAACGUGUCCUGUAGUGGGGGAUAGCCCGGCGAAAGCCGGAUUAAUACCGCAUACGAUCUACGGAAGAAAGCGGGGGAUCCUUCGGGACCUCGCGCUAUAGGGGCGGCCGAUGGCAGAUUAGCUAGUUGGUGGGGUAAAGGCCUACCAAGGCGACGAUCUGUAGCUGGUCUGAGAGGACGACCAGCCACACUGGGACUGAGACACGGCCCAGACUCCUACGGGAGGCAGCAGUGGGGAAUUUUGGACAAUGGGGGAAACCCUGAUCCAGCAAUGCCGCGUGUGUGAAGAAGGCCUCGGUUGUAAAGCACUUUGUCCGGAAGAAACUUACUGCCCUAAUACGGUGGAGGAUGACGGUACCGGAAGAAUAAGCAACGGCUAACUACGUGCCAGCAGCCGCGGU